rnacentral:rRNA from 1 species
UCGAGAAUCUUCCGCAAUGGACGCAAGUCUGACGGAGCGACGCCGCGUGAUCGAUGAAGUGCUUCGGUAUGUAAAGAUCUUUUUAUGGGGGAAGAAGUUUAUUGACGGUACCCCAUGAAUAAGGGCCUGCAAAACUCGUGCCAGCAGCAGCGGUAAUACGAGUGGCCCAAGCGUUAUCCGGAAUUAUUGGGCGUAAAGGAUGUGUAGGUGGUUAUGUUAGUCUAGUGUCUAACCUCUGAGCUUAACUUGGAGACAGCACUGGAAACGGCAUGACUAGAGUAUGUUAGGGGUAAGCGGAACUCAUAGUGUAGGGGUGAAAUCCGUUGAUAUUAUGGGGAACACCAAAAGCGAAGGCAGCUUACUGGAACAUUG